UACAGAGGGUGCGAGCGUUAAUCGGAAUUACUGGGCGUAAAGCGCGCGUAGGCGGCUUUGCAAGUCGGGUGUGAAAUCCCCAGGCUUAACCUGGGAACUGCAUUCGAGACUGCAUUGCUAGAGUAUGGGGAGAGGGAAGUGGAAUUUCCGGUUGUAGCGGUGAAAUGCGGUAGAAUAUCGGAAGGAACAUCAGUGGCGAAAAGCGACUUCCUGGACCAAUACUGACCGCUCAUGUGCGAAAGCGUGGGGAGCAAAACAGGAUUGAGAA
rnacentral:rRNA from 1 species